rnacentral:rRNA from 1 species
GAUGAACGCUGACAGAAUGCUUAACACAUGCAAGUCGAUGGGGAAGUGGUGCUUGCACCAUGGCAACCAUGGCGGACGGGUGAGUAACGCGUAAGGGACUUACCUGCAGGACUGGGAUAACAGGGGGAAACUCCUGACAAGACCGGAUAAUGUCAUGGAGCUGCAUGGCUUUAUGAUGAAAGGAGACGCCUGCGGAGAGCCUUGCGUCCUAUUAGCUAGUUGGUGAGGUAAUGGCUCACCAAGGCGAAGAUAGGUAGCCGGCCUGAGAGGGUGGACGGCCACAAGGGGACUGGGAUACGGCCGUUACUCCUACGGGAGGCAGCAGUGGGGAAUAUUGGACAAUGGGGGCAACCCUGAUCCAGCAAUUCUGUGUGCACGAAGAAGGUUUUCGGAUUGUAAAGUGCUUGCAGCAGGGAAGAAGUAAGUGACGGUACCUGCAGAAGAAGCGACGGCUAAAUACGUG